rnacentral:rRNA from 1 species
AUUGAACGCUGGCGGCAUGCUUUACACAUGCAAGUCGAACGGUAACAGGCCGCAAGGUGCUGACGAGUGGCGAACGGGUGAGUAAUGCAUCGGAACGUGCCCAGUCGUGGGGGAUAACGCAGCGAAAGCUGCGCUAAUACCGCAUACGAUCUAUGGAUGAAAGCGGGGGACCGUAAGGCCUCGCGCGAUUGGAGCGGCCGAUGUCAGAUCAGGUAGUUGGUGGGGUAAAGGCUCACCAAGCCGACGAUCUGUAGCUGGUCUGAGAGGACGACCAGCCACACUGGGACUGAGACACGGCCCAGACUCCUACGGGAGGCAGCAGUGGGGAAUGUUGGACAAUGGGCGCAAGCCUGAUCCAGCAAUGCCGCGUGCAGGAAGAAGGCCUUCGGGUUGUAAACUGCUUUUGUACGGAACGAAACGGUCCUGGUUAAUACCUGGGGCUAAUGACGGUACCGUAAGAAUAAGCACCGGCUAACUACGUGCCAGCCGCCGCAGUAAAAC